rnacentral:rRNA from 1 species
UACAGAGGCCUCGAGCGUUAGGCGGAAUCACUGGGCUUAAAGCGUGUGUAGGCGGACUUCUAAGUACCUUGUGAAAUCCCACGGCUUACCCGUGGAACUGCUCGGUAUACUGGUUGUCUUGAGCCACCUAGGGGCGAGUGGAACAAAUGGUGGAGCGGUGAAAUGCGUAGAUAUCAUUUGGAACGCCAAUGGUGAAAACAACUCGCUGGGGGUGUGCUGACGCUGAGACACGAAAGCCAGGGGAGCAAACGGG